CUACGGGCGGCUCCAGUGGGGAAUAUUGCACAAUGGGCGCAAGCCUGAUGCAGCCAUGCCGCGUGUAUGAAGAAGGCCUUCGGGUUGUAAAGUACUUUCAGCGGGGAGGAAGGGAGUAGAGUUAAUACCUUUGCUCAUUGACGUUACCCGCAGAAGAAGCACCGGCUAACUCCGUGCCAGCAGCCGCGGUAAUACGGAGGGUGCAAGCGUUAAUCGGAAUUACUGGGCGUAAAGCGCACGCAGGCGGUUUGUUAAGUCAGAUGUGAAAUCCCCGGGCUCAACCUGGGAACUGCAUCUGAGACUGGCAAGCUUGAGUCUCGUAGAGGGGUGUAGAAUUCCAGGUGUAGCGGUGAAAUGCGUAGAGAUCUGGAGGAAUACCGGUGGCGAAGGCGGCCCCCUGGACGAAGACUGACGCUCAGGUGCGAAAGCGUGGGGAGCAAACAGGAUUAGAUACCCCAGUAGUC
rnacentral:rRNA from 1 species